rnacentral:rRNA from 1 species
CCUACGGGCGGCAGCAGUGAGGAAUAUUGGUCAAUGGUCGGGAGACUGAACCAGCCAAGCCGCGUGAGGGAGGAAGGUACAGAGUAUCGUAAACCUCUUUUGUCAGGGAACAAAGGCGGGGACGUGUCCCCGGAUGAGUGUACCUGAAGAAAAAGCAUCGGCUAACUCCGUGCCAGCAGCCGCGGUAAUACGGAGGAUGCGAGGGUUAUCCAGAUUAAUUGGGUUAAAAGGGUGCGAGGGCGGUCUGUAAAGUCAGCGGUCAAAGCCCGGGGCCCAACCCCGGCCCGCCGUUGAAACUGGCAGUCUCGAGUUGGAGAGAAGUAUGCGGAAUGCGCGGUGUAGCGGUGAAAUGCA